rnacentral:rRNA from 1 species
CGGCGGACGGGUGAGUAACGCGUGGGUAACCUGCCUCAUACAGGGGGAUAACAGUUAGAAAUGACUGCUAAUACCGCAUAAGACCACGGAGCCGCAUGGCUCAGUGGGAAAAACUCCGGUGGUAUGAGAUGGACCCGCGUCUGAUUAGGUAGUUGGUGGGGUAACGGCCUACCAAGCCAACGAUCAGUAGCCGACCUGAGAGGGUGACCGGCCACAUUGGGACUGAGACACGGCCCAA